rnacentral:rRNA from 1 species
GACGUAGGGCGCGAGCGUUGUCCGGAUUUAUUGGGCGUAAAGAGCUCGUAGGCGGUCUGUCGCGUCUGCUGUGAAAUCCCGAGGCUCAACCUCGGGCUUGCAGUGGGUACGGGCAGGCUAGAGUGCGGUAGGGGAGAAUGGAACUCCUGGUGUAGCGGUGGAAUGCGCAGAUAUCAGGAGGAACACCGAUGGCGAAGGCAGGUCUCUGGGCCACUACUGACGCUGAGAAGCGAAAGCAUGGGGAGCGAACAGG